AUUGAACGCUGGCGGCAUGCUUUACACAUGCAAGUCGAGCGGCAGCUCUUGGUCAACCCUGGCGUCGAGCGGCGAACGGGUGAGUAAUUCAUCGGAACGUAUCCUCGAGUGGGGGAUAACCCAGCGAAAGUUGGGCUAAUACCUCAUGAGCUCUGCUGAGGCCAGCUGGGGAUCUUCGAGGCCCUCUCGCUGGAGGAGCGGCCGAUGUCCGAUUAGCUAGUUGGUGGGGUAAAGGCUUACCAAGGCGACGAUCGGUAGCUGGUCUGAGAGGAUGAUCAGCCACACUGGGACUGAGACACGGCCCAAACUCCUACGGGAGGCAGCAGUAGGGAAUUUUGGACAAUGGGGGAAACCCUGAUCGAGCAAUGCCGCGUGAGUGAAGAAGGUCUUCGGAUUGUAAAGCUCUGUUGUAAGAGAAGAAAGGGGGGGGACGAAAAUUCCUGUGUGAUGACGGUACCGUAAGAAGAAGCAACGGCUAACUACGUG
rnacentral:rRNA from 1 species